rnacentral:rRNA from 1 species
GUCGAGCGAACAGAUGAGGAGCUUGCUCCUCUGACGUUAGCGGCGGACGGGUGAGUAACACGUGGGCAACCUGCCCUAUAGUCUGGGAUAACUCGCGGAAACGUGAGCUAAUACCGAAUAAUACAUUUCAUCUCCUGAUGGGAUGUUGAAAGAUGGUUUUUCGCUAUCGCUAUAGGAUGGGCCCGCGGCGCAUUAGCUAGUAGGUGAGGUAACGGCUCACCUAGGCAACGAUGCGUAGCCGACCUGAGAGGGUGAUCGGCCACACUGGGACUGAGACACGGCCCAGACUCCUACGGGAGGCAGCAGUAGGGAAUCUUCCACAAUGGACGAAAGUCUGAUGGAGCAACGCCGCGUGAGUGAAGAAGGUUUUCGGAUCGUAAAACUCUGUUGUAAGGGAAGAACAAGUACAGUAGUAACUGGCUGUACCUUGACGGUACCUUAUUAGAAAGCCACGGCUAACUACGUGCCAGCAGCCGCGGUAAUACGUAGGUGGCAAGCGUUGUCCGGAAUUAUUGGGCGUAAAGCGCGCGCAGGCGGUCCUUUAAGUCUGAUGUGAAAUCACGUGGCUCAACCACGUGCGGUCAUUGGAAACUGGAGGACUUGAGUGCAGAAGAGGAAAGUGGAAUUCCAAGUGUAGCGGUGAAAUGCGUAGAGAUUUGGAGGA